rnacentral:piRNA from 1 species
UCUCACUGAAAAGUCUGGCUAAUGCUCUU